rnacentral:rRNA from 1 species
UACAGAGGUGGCAAGCGUUGUUCGGAUUCAUUGGGCGUAAAGGGUCCGUAGGCGGUUCAGAAAGUUGGAGGUGAAAUCCCAUGGCUUAACCAUGGAACUGCCUUCAAAACUUCUGGACUAGAGGAUGAGAGGGGUAGAGGGAAUUCCCGGUGUAAGGGUGAAAUCUGCAGAGAUCGGGAAGAACACCAGUCGCGAAGGCGCUCUACUGGCUCAUUUCUGACGCUGAGGGACGAAAGCUAGGGGAGCAAAC